GACUGGACAGGUCAGGGCACGGCAUGAUGGCGAGCGAGUAGGGGAAGAUAAGUUUCUCCUCGUGGAGGCAUUCACAUUAUUUUUAACUGUAAAGCAGAGGGAAAAGCAACAUUUCGGUAACUUGUAGACUGUGUCCCGGUUCAAAAAUACUUUCUACGGCGAACAACAGCAACAGCAAUCUGCUGAAGCACCUGGAGAAGCGGCAUGCUUCGACAAAGUUAGCAGCUAAGGUAGCUAACGCAGCAUCCGAGACCGAGAGUCACAGCAGCGAGCACACACCCACUCCACCCAAGCAGCAGCGGUUGGAGUUCGAAAGACGGACCCAUAGCCAGGCACAACUUGAUAAAACAAUAGCACGAACUGGAGAUGCUGCUCAGUGGAAGCAAACAGACAGACACAUGUGAACAUGGGCCUGUGAUCAAUGGACUUUUGAAGGACAUUUAGUGCCCAGGGCGAUGAAUGACCCCAAAGAGGCUCUGCACUAGCACGAACAGAUCAAUGGUCAAUUCACAUCCGUUGAAUCUGAACAGGAGUGCUGGCUCGUUCCUGUGGAGACGGCACACAGUUGGACAGGAAGCCGUAAAGUUACAUUAUUACACACUGCAGACCACGAGUGACAAUGGUUGACGUGCUCCUCAUCCCCCUGCAUCUUCAUCUCCUUCACUUUGCGCUCCAGCUUGCGGUUUGCCUGCUGUAGGCUGUUGUUCUCCCUGACGAGGAGGAAAAAGCACCAAGAGAUCACAUCACUGCUGCAGCGUCCUGUAAUUCAACACCUAGCAAUAGUAUUUGGACCAGACAUCCUCUCACUCUGACCACAGGGAAAGUGAUAGGAGCAUCAAGUGUCUGAUGGAUCUAUUAUCCAAAGUGUCUUCUAGUGUUCCGAUUAAUAAACACAGACUCAAAUAUAUUUAUAUCUGUCAAUAUUUGAACACUGACUGCUCUUCUCCUUGCAGCUUCUCCUCCAGUUCCUGGAUGCGGCUGUUCAGUUUGGAGACCAGUGAAUCCUGGUUGGUCCUCUGUGAUCCUUCCAAAUGAGUCACUCUGCUCUUCAGGUCUUUAUUCUGACAAAGAUCAAAAUGAAGGAUGUCGUAAAUAAGACACACUGAGGAUCUUUAUGACUGCAUCGGAUGAAGAAUCAUACAUGAAGUGAGAGGAGUUUAUCGUCAUGUUUUCAGGCAGUUACAAAACGGUCUGCACUGCCGCGCUCAUCAUUGAGAUCUUCUGCAAGGCGACUGAUUCGUCCCUGAGAAGAGAGGAGAACACAAACAACACAACUUGGGUGUGGGUGGAACACUGUCUCCAGUUUGAAGUAAAAGAAAAGAAAUGAAUCAUUAAAACAUUUCUGUGCAGAUGUGAGUGUUUGACCCUUGAAGAGGGUGAGCGACAGACAGGAGAUCCCUGAGAACAAACACCCAGACAGGUCUGAUAACUUUACACAGUAAACAUGGGCUUCAUCGGCUGAUACGCAAUGUCAACAGUGAGCACACCAGAGUCACAGUGCAAUGUUUUGUCAUCAGCAAGACAAACAGUGCUGAGCUGUGAGAUGUUGUUGCCAGGGCUCAUUACAGUGCCCUUACACUUCACAGGAACAAGUCAACAGGUUUCCUGGGUGGAAGUGCCUGGGACAUUUACCUCCAUGAGUUUGACCUGUCGGUCUCUGUCGUCCACUGUGGCUGCGUUCUUCUCCUCCAGCUCCCUCACCUUCAGCUCCAGCUGCUGGACUCGCAGCUGAGCGUCCUGCUGCUCCCUGCGACACCGCUGCAAAUCCUCCUCCAGAGGAAGGAGCUGAGCACAGGACAGAGAUCACUGAGUAAACACAUUCUACGAGAUAAGGCAAGGCAUGUUUAUUGGACAUUGUUAAGAAAACACAUAAAGUCUGAGAUAAAAUGUGUAAAUUGGAAAGUUUAAGCCAAUCCCGGAGGAUCUUCAUAGCAAAGAAAUUAUGAAACAAAGAGGUCAUAAAUCCUUUUUGCCUUGUCUUUGAUUCAGCUUUUAUUUUGAUGACUAAGAUAGUUGAACCUACAAACUGAAAUAUCUGAGAGAGCGUGAGUACCACACCUCUUCCUGCAGUUUUUUGGCUGCCUGUCGAAAUUUCUCCAGCUCUGCUCCCUUUUCCUGCAGCUGCCUCCGCAGCUCAGCCAACUCCCUCUGAUUCUUCUCUUUGGCCUCGUCGACCUGGUUCUGAAGUACGUCGGUGGACGCCUCGCACUCUUCCAUGAUGCUAUUCAUCUGAGCACACAGAAGAACAAAGAGCUUCCACAGUGAGAUAAGUUGAGUGCCUUGCAUUUGAAAAAGGGGAUGGAAGAUGACAAGCUUCAGGGUAAAGAUAACAUACUUUUUGGAUCAUGUUUGUCUACAAAAAUGUGUAAUUUUUACCACAGGACUCUUGUGUCACCUCUCACCUUUCUCUGCAGUUGCUCUACAGCACGGUCCUGCAGCCUCCUCUCAUCUUCUAGUUCAGUUUUUGUCUUCCACAGCUCCUCUCUUUGUUUCCUCUCCUCCUUGAGCUUCUCCUUCAGGUCCCUGUGCUCGUGAUUAAGUUUGGUCAUCUUACUCUGUCAAAGGAAAACAUAGACGAGGGAAAACUCUGGGAGUUUAACAAAAAACACGUCAUGAUAUUAGAUAUAGGCUUAACCAAGCUGUUUCUCUUUGUUAGUUGUUCUUCAGAACAGGAAACAUGGAAGGAGAGAGGGGAUGAAAAACAAUAAUGUACUUAUGUGGUACUAGGAAAAUGGACUUGUUAUGCAUCAGUGACAUGGCUGUUGCCAUACCUGCACAUCCUCCAACCGAGUGAGCAGCGAUUGGUUGGACAGACACAUCUCUUCCUCAGUCCUUCUCACAUCCUUAAGCAUUUCCUCCACCUGCUGCUUUUCCCUCUGAGGAACCAGACAAGGACAUCUUUAAUAAAACAAACUUCGACUUGCAAAACACUCCUCUUCACACACCCACACCUCCUCCUCACCUCCAGCUGCUUUGCUCUCUGCUCCAGCAGUCUCUCCGUGGUCCUUCCCUCCUGGAUUGCCUGGCUCAGCUGAUCCACUUUCUUGUUGAGGUCCUGCACCUUUCCUCUCAGCUGGUCUCUCUCUUGGCUCAGCUCCUUCAGCUGCACCUUAACUACACCUUUCUCCUCCUCUGCCUCAACCCUCUCUUGACCCACUACAGCGUUGCUCUAAAGGGCAGGUUUGAGAAAAUUGUGAGAAGUGAAAUCAAGCAUAUUCUAGUUUUUUGAAAUCGAAGACUAAUCAAAACAAGUGCAUGCCUUCCCUGUUACCUCUUUAGCCAGCUCCAAUUCCCUGAGCAGGUUAUCAAGUUCCUGUUCAUAUUCAUUCUUCAGAGCGGCCAAGUAUUUGUCAUGAGUUUCCACCUCCUCUUUAAGUGUCCCCUUUAGGGAACUGAGCUCUUUUUCCUGGCUGUGCAGCACCUCCUCCUGCUCCUCCUUCACCUGCAGCAUCUCCUGGAAGUCUGUGCGCAUCUGUACCAUUUCCUGACACAAAUACAGCCCAACAUUAAGAGGCUUUCCAGCUGCUGUUGAUUUGUGGAGCACCUCUUCUACACCUGAUUUCAUUUACCUUCAGGAGAACGUCUUUCUCUGUGUUUAUCCCCUCAACGUGUUUGGCUUGGUCCAGCUCAUCGUGCAUCUCAGAGAGCUGCUGCUGAAGGUCUUUCAUCUCCAUCCUGUAUCUUUCUCUCUCUGCCUUCAUCUGACUCAACCUGGCAACAUAUGAGAAAAACAUGUAGACGGUUUAUCCUGCUUUAGAGUGCUGUAUAGGACUAGAUGACGAAAACGAGAAGAUCUGCACAAUAAAUCCUUAUGGUGUUUGACUAUAUUUAACUGGUCUUCAUCAGAACGCACAUUAAAAUAAACCUGAAUGACCUCAGAGUCUUUGUACAUGCCCUGUAAGAGACAGUGGAGCACAGCAUUGAGCUGAAGAGUGUGGUAAUUCCAUGAGUUGUCUGAAUAAGCGGAAGGAUGCUUACUCUGUUAGUGAUAGUGUUUGGACCCAAUGGCUCCUGUGAGACCCUUCCUGUUGACCUGGGCCCUUUGGCAACGCGUGUUAAGCCUACAGUCACAAAUCUAGGUUUUAAAAUGGACAGUGAUUUUAAGUGAUUGGUCAAAUUGGUACAGUAGUGAAGUCCAGCUUUUUUCACUAAAGACAGUAGGCAAAGGUGAAAUCUAUCCUUUCCAAACAGCACUUUGAGACAGUAAUACAAGUCUUUAUUACGCCUUGCCUGGAUAACUGCAAAGUACUUUAUUUUGGAGUCAGUCAGACAUCCCUCUCACGUCUCCAGCUUGUCCAAAGAGGGAACACCUGACACCUAUUUUAGUCUCUCACUCCACUGGCUGCCCGUGCACUUUAGAGUUCAUUUCAAAUUCUUUCAUUUGUUUUUAAAUCCUUAAAUGGUCUUGCCCAGCCUUACCUCUCUGAGCUGCUUCAUCCUUACACUCCUGCCCAGUCUAUGAGGUCAGCUGAUCAGAUGCUCCUACGGUUACCAAAAUCUAAACGGAAACUCAGAGGGGACAGAGCUUUUCUUGUGGAACAAUCUUCCACUGCAUGUUAGACACGCCCCCUCACUGUCCACUUUUAAAACGCCUCUUAAAACCAAUUUUUAUUCUUUGGCUUUCGACCCAGUAGGAGAUGUUGGUUUUAUCUUUUUUUUAUAGUUUAUUGCAUUACUUAUUUGUGUUUUUAUACUUUACCUUUUAUUGUUUUAUUGUAUGUUUUACUGUUUGUUCUUAGGUUUUAUGUUUUUAUAUUUUAUUUUUUUUGUGUACAGCACAUUGUUUCAGAUGUUGUUGUGGAUUAACACAAAAUUGGGUUGGAUUGGAUUGUAUGAACUCCAGAACUGCUACUUUCCUGAACAACCAGGAGGUCAAAUUAAAGGUCAAACUUA